GUGUUGUAUGAAAGGAGAGAAGGUUAGCACUCCCCUUGACAAGGAUGGAAGAGGCCCUUGGGCCUGACAACAUGCAUACGGUUAAGGUAAUGCCACCUAUUUCAUGGCAUCUAACCAAUUUUUAU
ensembl:snRNA